AUAGUAUACAGUGAAACUGCGAAUGGCUCAUUAAAACAGUUAUAGUUUAUUUGAUAAUUGAAUGCUACAUGGAUAACCGUGGUAAUUCUAGAGCUAAUACAUGCUGUAAAACCUGACUUCUUGAAGGGUUGUAUUUAUUAGAUAUUAAACCAAUAGUGGAAACACUGUUGUGAUGAUUCAUAAUAACUGAUCGAAGCGAGGCCAGCCUCGCUAAAUCAUUCAAGUUUCUGCCCUAUCAGCUUUCGAUGGUAGUGUAUUGGACUACCAUGGCAAUCACGGGUAACGGGGAAUUAGGGUUCGAUUCCGGAGAGGGAGCCUGAGAAACGGCUACCACUUCUAAGGAAGGCAGCAGGCGCGUAAAUUACCCAAUCCCGAUUCGGGGAGGUAGUGACAAGAAAUAACAACUCGGGUCCUUCGGGAUUACGAGAUUGCAAUGAGAACAAUUUAGACCACUUAACGAGGAUCCAUUGGAGGGCAAGUCUGGUGCCAGCAGCCGCGGUAAUUCCAGCUCCAAUAGCGUAUAUUAAAGUUGUUGCAGUUAAAAAGCUCGUAGUUGAACUUCUGUCCGUGGCUCCAGCUGGCUUCGGUCGCUGGAGUGGCGGUCAUCCGCUUGGGAACUACGUUCGGACUUAAUUGUUUGGCGUAAGGAACAGGCAUUUUACUUUGAAAAAAUUAGAGUGUUCAAGGCAGGCUAUCGCCCUGAAUACACAAGCAUGGAAUAAUGAAAUAGGACUACUUCCAUUUUAUUGGUUAUUGGAAAUAGUAAUGAUUAAUAGGGACAGUUGGGGGCAUUAGUAUUUAAUUGUCAG
rnacentral:rRNA from 1 species